GCCGCCUUGCGCCGAAGAUGUACCGGGGCUCAAGCUGUACACCGAAGCUGCGGGUUCGAAAGAGCGGUAGCGGAGCGUUCCGUAGGUCUGUGAAGGGAUACCUGUGAGGGGUCCUGGAGAUAUCGGAAGUGCGAAUGCUGACAUGAGUAGCGAUAAAGAGUGUGAGAAACACUCUCGCCGUAAGCCCAAGGGUUCCUGCGCAAGGCUAAUCCGCGCAGGGUGAGUCGGCCCCUAAGGCGAGGCUGAGAAGCGUAGUCGAUGGGAAACA
rnacentral:rRNA from 1 species